CCGGCCGCCUUUUGCCUUAUUAGCGGCGAGUGAGCGGCAAAAGCUCAAAUUUGAAAUCUGGCGCCUUCGGUGUCCGAGUUGUAAUUUGAAGAUUGUAACCUUGGGGUUGGCUCUUGUCUAUGUUUCUUGGAACAGGACGUCACAGAGGGUGAGAAUCCCGUGCGAUGAGAUGCCCAAUUCUAUGUAAGGUGCUUUCGAAGAGUCGAGUUGUUUGGGAAUGCAGCUCUAAGUGGGUGGUAAAUUCCAUCUAAAGCUAAAUAUUGGCGAGAGACCGAUAGCGAACAAGUACAGUGAUGGAAAGAUGAAAAGAACUUUGAAAAGAGAGUGAAAAAGUACGUGAAAUUGUUGAAAGGGAAGGGUUUGAGAUCAGACUCGAUAUUUUGUGAGCCUUGCCUUCGUGGCGGGGUGACCCGCAGCUUAUCGGGCCAGCAUCGGUUUGGGCGGUAGGAUAAUGGCGUAGGAAUGUGACUUUACUUCGGUGAAGUGUUAUAGCCUGCGUUGAUGCUGCCUGCCUAGACCGAGGACUGCGAUUUUAUCAAGGAUGCUGGCAUAAUGAUCCCAAACCGCCCGUCUUGAAACC
rnacentral:rRNA from 1 species